GAGUACGACGACCAGACAACUACGUGACCGCCAUGUAUAAGUCGCUGGAAGGGCAAAUAAUGAGGAGAGGCGGCGUCGAUGCUGUUUGCGAAUGAUGCAUUGAGCCUUGCAUCUGUGUGAUCACGGCGAAGCCGCCUCCGCCGCCGCCGCCGCCGCCGCCGCCGCUGGAAGAGAAACAGCUGAGGAGGUGGCCGCGACGAAGCUGUUUGCAAACGACAUGAAAAUUCACUGUGGUGUCUGGCAGCUUAGGCCGUAACAAGACUCAAGACAACGUGGGGACGGCGAAGAAGCGAUCUAAUCGAGCUAUAUCUGAUAAGCGUGAAGGAAGUGCGCGUUGUAUGUCUCGAAUGAAGAUUGAUACACUUUUAAAUAAAAUAAAAUAAAAUUUUA